AGAAGUUCUGCAAGUAUAUUUAGCCUACAAAGAAAUGUAUCAUGCAAAUAGAACUCAUUCUGUUGCAGUGCUAGAACACAUAAUCCAUAUAUUUAUUUUAGUAGUUAUUCAGAUGUAACAGAAUAAGUUCUGGCGUUUUAUCCUGAAAUGUGAAGCUUCUCAUUAUCUAACACGAGAUCCUUUACUAGGAGUGCAGAAAACAGAUAAACUCUAACCCCAGUGAAGUCUUUAUGGACUUCCAUAAAGCAUAGACUUUACAAAUUCACCAUGGUGAUAUCAAACUGGGCGGGAUGGACAAAUUUCUAUGUAAAUAGAACUCAUUCUGUUGCAGUGCUAGAACACAUAAUCCAUAUAUUUAUUUUAGUAGUUAUUCAGAUGUAACAGAAUAAGUUCUGGCAUUUUAUCCUGAAAUGUGAAGCUUCUCAUUAUCUAACACGAGAUCCAUUACUAGGAGUGCAGAAAACAGAUAAACUCUAACCCCAGUGAAGUCUUUAUGGACUUCCAUAAAGCAUAGACUUUACAAAUUCACCAUGGUGAUAUCAAACUGGGCGGGAUGGACAAAUUUCUUUUAUUUCAUUAUAGAUCAUGAAAUAAUAACAUCGAAUCUCAUAAAAGUAAUUACAUCACUAACAUAAAAAUACACCAUAAAUGCAAACGUCAGGCGCAGACUUUGGCCUUUGACGAAGAAAACAUAAAUCCAAAACCUGAUUGCGGUAUGAGUUCUAAUGUGAAUCAAUAGUCCUAAUAGUUAGCAUUCGGUUUCAGAACUUAAAUCCACACUCUUCUUACAUAGGAAUUUUAUCUCGUCUUGCAGUAUACCCAUUCAAGUUUCAGCUCCGGCAUUUAACAGGCAGCUACCUAUAUGUUGGUCUUUGGAUAGAUAUAAAGGAGGAAAAAAACAUUACUGGAUUAGAACCAUUCAGGCACAUUAAGCACCUCCCAUCCCAUUUGCACCUUCGAUCCUUCAAUAUUUCUACCCCUCUAGUCAGCACUCACAACAUUUAGACAAUCCAGUUCAAGCAUAAUAUGAUCUGUUUUUUUUUUUUUUUUUGAGAUGGAUAACACUCACAACAUUUAGACAAUCCAGUUCAAGCAUAAUAUGAUCUGUUUUUUUUUUUUUUUUGAGAUGGAUAAUGUGAUUUGCGCUUUAAAUGGUAAAAAAGUGACACGGAACAGUUUAGUCAAACAUAUCUGAAAUGAAAUACAGGAAAGCGUGAUGACAAAUACACAGCAAGAAUAUUCCUAACACAUUUUACUAUACAGUAUAGAUACCUUGCAAAUAAGAUCGGGACAUAAAAAAAUAUGGCAAGAAAGACAGUAAUCUACAAAUAAAUUUAAAAGCAAACUAAAUUUAUAAAUCA
rnacentral:lncRNA from 1 species